CAUAUCAGGUUGAAUCACCGGUUCUAGCACGAUCACCGAAGAUAAGCAACGUUGAGCCUGAUCAAUACGUGGAUGGGUGACAGCUUGCGAAUAGCAGAUGCUGCAA